rnacentral:rRNA from 1 species
UGAGGAAUAUUGGUCAAUGGGCGCGAGCCCGAACCAGCCAAGUCGCGUGAGGGAGGACGGCCCUACGGGUUGUAAACCUCUUUUGCCGGGGAGCAACGGGCGUCACGUGUGGCGCCACUGAGAGUACCCGGAGAAAAAGCAUCGGCUAACUCCGUGCC